rnacentral:tRNA from 1 species
GGCGGAUGUACCCAAGGGGAUUAAGGCA